AGCAACGUUCGAAUAUCAAUUUGUAGUACAUUAUUACAAUGUCACCGCUACCGUGCAAAUUUUCUUACAUAUUGUAUACUGUCUUCUCGAUAUCUGGGUUUUCAUCGCAAAAUAACGUCCCCUUCCGUGCAUUAACUUCAUUCGAAGAAGAUAUAGAUAUCCGAAUCCCGGAAUCUGCUAAGGCUGAUUGGAUCCGCGAACUUUUGGCGAAGAAGUUGAUGGAUAUGAAUUCAAAGCUGAGGAACACAAAGAAUGAAUUGAAAACAGAGAGGGCAAGAAAUAUCUUUUCCAAAUUCAUGUGUGGCAUGAAUGUGUAUAGAAUGGAGCUCGAUGGUGUCAUAUCUACGGCCACCGAUGGUAAAAAGACCCGUAUUACAGACGUUCAACAACCUUCUGAACCUUCAAAACAGAUACCCGACACUAAAAUACGUCAAAUGAAGACCGAAAUUCAACGCAUUUUAGUCACGGAUAAUACCGAAAAAAUUAAAGAUGCGUUCAAGUUAGCACAAGCAUUUUAUUGGGUGAUCGAUGACUGCACUUCUGAAGCGUGCAAGUACCUCUACCUAUCUUAAAGGUAACCUGACUCAGAAAAAGGUUGAGCUUUGGAAAGUUGCAGCAAUCACCGCCGGAUUCCGUAAGUUAUGCGACGAUUAUAUGCAUCGAGAUGGGUCUUUGGCGGUGAAAAUUUACAUGUCGUAUGAACAAGCCAAUAUUACCAAGGAUUUUUUCCAAAUAAUUCAGCAAUAUAGUACUUGCUGGAGCGUCGAGAAAAGAGACCUUGAUAUCGUAAACAUCGUGGUACGAUCCCUCCUGAAUGAAACUAGUAUUGCAUACUGCGAAGUGUUAUCGUCGAAAAAGAAAACAAAAAGGUAAUACUAGCUUUGCCUGUGCGAGAUCCAGGUACCUCUGUCGCUUGCUAACCUACGAUGUAAAUAAAACAAUUUAAAGAGCACCUAUAGAUAUGCCUUAAGUAUAUAAUAAGUAAAUGUAGGUACCUACAUAUAUGUAUUUUGCACAAUUAAUAAACUUGAUAAUUAUA